GAUGAAGAACGCAGUGAAAUGCGAUAAGUAAUGUGAAUUGCAGAAUUCAGUGAAGCAUCGAAUCUUUGAACGCACCUUGCACCCUUUGGCAUUCCGAAGGGUAUGCUCGUUUGAGUGUCAUUGUACUCUCACACUUCUGAUCCUUUGGAUUGGGAGCGGUGGACUUGGGUGUUGCUGCUUUACUGUGGCUCACCUCAAAUGCAUUCGUGCAACUCUUGGUUGGACAUAGUACGGCGUGAUAAGUAUCUUCGCCGGCACCUCGCAAGAGGGUGGCUGAUCAGGAGCUCUGUGCUUUCCAACUGUCUUCAGACAACAACUGACAACUUGACCUCAAAUCGAGUAGGACCACCCGCUGAACUUAAGCAUAUCAAUAAGCGGAGGA
rnacentral:misc_RNA from 1 species